rnacentral:lncRNA from 1 species
AGUUCUCACCCCAGCAUGAUGCCCAAGAUAUAGCUGAACUUGUUUAUUUAUUCUUCCUGUGUCACAAAUUACCCCUUAACAAAUACUUUUGAGUCUCUGAAAGUCCAAAUGUCAGUGUGAUUUUUUUUUUCUCUCCCCUUAAAAAACAGAUGAGAGGAUCAAGAUAUCUACUCUGAUGUCUUGAACUCACCUUAAAGGCAUGUAGUGUUCAUUCUGUGGUCAUGAUCACGCAGACCAAUCUCAACAGAGUUCGAGGAAAGUUGGCGAGGGUGUGGCAGCCAGAACUUAACUAUUGGUGUCCUUGGAUGACCUGAAACUCACAUGGACUGGCCUGGCUUUGGACUUCCAGAGUGCUGGGAUUAUAGGGUCCCCAUCAUGCUCUACGUGGUGGCUCUCUUUUGUUAUGCUCUCCUGCUUCAGGUCCCGUCAUGGGCGCCUCUGCUCAUGAGCCUGUAGCUCUCCCUAAUAAAGCUCUAUGAAGGGUG